rnacentral:rRNA from 1 species
AUAACUGGGAUUCCCUAGUAGCGGCGAGCGAAGCGGGAAGAGCUCAAAUUUAUAAUCUGGCACCUUCGGUGUCCGAGUUGUAAUCUCUAGAAGUGUUUUCCGCGUUGGACCGCACACAAGUCUGUUGGAAUACAGCGGCAUAGUGGUGAAACCCCCGUAUAUGGUGCGGACGCCCAGCGCUUUGUGAUACACUUUCAAUGAGUCGAGUUGUUUGGGAAUGCAGCUCAAAUUGGGUGGUAAAUUCCAUCUAAAGCUAAAUAUUGGCGAGAGACCGAUAGCGAACAAGUACCGUGAGGGAAAGAUGAAAAGCACUUUGGAAAGAGAGUUAACAGUACGUGAAAUUGUUGGAAGGGAAACGCUUGAAGUCAGACUUGCUUGCCGGAGCUUGCUUCGGUUUGCAGGCCAGCAUCAGUUUUCCGGGGUGGAUAAUGACGGUUUGAAGGUAGCAGUCUCGGCUGUGUUAUAGCUUUCCGUUGGAUACAUCCUGGGGGACUGAGGAACGCAGCGUGCUUUUUGCGAAAGACUCGUCUUUUUCACGCUUAGGAUGCUGGUGGAAUGGCUUUAAACGACCCGUCUACACC